UACGUAGGGUGCGAGCGUUAAUCGGAAUUACUGGGCGUAAAGCGUGCGCAGGCGGUGAUGUAAGACAGAUGUGAAAUCCCCGGGCUCAACCUGGGAACUGCAUUUGUGACUGCAUCGCUGGAGUGCGGCAGAGGGGGAUGGAAUUCCGCGUGUAGCAGUGAAAUGCGUAGAUAUCAGGAGGAACACCGAUGGCGAAGGCAGGUCUCUGGGCUGACACUGACGCUCAUGCACGAAAGACGUGGGGAGCAAACGGAGAUA
rnacentral:rRNA from 1 species